GAGUGUGCACCCUACUAGGUCAGACUUCACUUUCUAGUGUAGGGAGACACUCAAAGGAUACUAGGGCGGGGGGGGGACCAAAACACUUGAUGUGCCUCCUCAAAUUAAAAUAUAGUUAUUUGUGGCCUCAUAGACAGGCAAUUUCCUGUGCAGUGUUUCCAUGAAAUUCAGUUGUAGAUAAAAUCAUCUUCAAGUUGAAUUCAGUCCGUAGAAACAGCAGCUUAAACAGGAACAUAAACUGUCCAAUGAGGGCAUAAAGGUGAUGAGGGAUGCAAUACAGAUCCCUAAAGAGGUAUCUUUGAAUGGAACAGAACAACAGAAUUUUAAAGCAGCAUUAGGGAGGAAGAGAUCAGCUUAUACCUUCUUUUAGGUUCUAAAUGAUGUUUUGUUUGUCUUAGCUGACAAAAAUAACAUGAAGUUUAAAAUUUUUUUAAAUUUAUACAUAUUUGCUGAAUGUGGUAUUUUUUCCCUUCGUUUUAUGGCUAUAGUUGAUUGUCCUCAAAGAAAAAAAAAACUUCAGACAAUCCUAAAGCCAAUUUAUAUUGGUCUUUGGAAUACAUUUUAAUUAUUUAAUGAGAUAAAUUUUCAAAACAUACAUUAAUGAAACUAAUAAUCAUAUCAUGCUAUGUGAUCUGAAUCUAAAAGAGGAACUCCAGUAUAGAAGAAUCGAGAAGCUUAAGCAAGACUUAAAAAUAGCCAUGAAGCAAGCACUCAGGCACUUAUAAAAAUAAUUGACUGGUCUGAUAAACUAUUACCUGGGUUUCGAAGCAGAAUCAACACAUAUCGAAACCAGGAAUGUUCUCAUUUGACCAGAAGUCAAUUCACAAGUCUAGAUCUCUCCACCAAAAAAGACAAUAUGGGUCACUGAUGUUUUACUCUAAGAAAUAUCAAAAAAAAAAAAAAUCAAAAUAUCAAAAAAAUAUCAAAAUAUCAAAAUAUCAAAUAUCAAAAGCAUGUCGCUUUACUUGUCCUUGUUCCUUCUCAUGUCUUCCAUAAGCCUUGUACAUAUACAAGGGCUUUGGAAAGAGCAUCAGUUCAGGUGAAUUAAAAAUUCAUAUUCUGCAAAUUCUCAGAGAUUGAGGGGGCCAGAGAGAGAAAGGGAUGGGCAAACAUUUAAUAAUAUAACUAUUUGAAUCCUGGCACCUUAUGUUAACUUGCCCAAAAGAUCAAAGAGAAGCCUUUAUGCAGCUUAAUACACAGAAAGCCAAGGUUUAAUAGUUAUUUUUUUUUCUCCAACUACAACUAUUUAAAUACAAAAGGAUAAAUAUCAUCAUAGACAACUGACAUAUUUGUGUGGUUUUGUUACUGUUAAUGAGAAAACUUCCUUUAGGAUAAAUGAUUAUUUAAAAGAGGGAGAACUUGGGGAUCCCUGGGUGGCACAGCGGUUUAGCGCCUGCCUUUGGCCCAGGGCGUGAUCCUGGAGAUCAGGGGUCGAAUCCCAUGUCGGGCUCCCGAUGCGUGGAGCCUGCUUCUCCCUCUGCCUAUGUCUCUGCCUCUCUCUCUCUCUCUCUCUCUCUGACUAUCAUAAAUAAAUUAAAAAAAAAAAAAAAGAGGGAGAACUUGAAUUUCACCACCGGUGAACUUUAGGAGCUGGAAAAUAUUUGCACAAUGCAUCUUAGAUUGCUAAGAAGGAAGUGACAGACAAAUUCCCUGCCACAUUUAUAUUUGCUUGGUAAGUUCCUUUUCUCUUAAGGUGGCUAGAAGAUCCAUGCUAAUUACCCAUCUACCUCACAGGGAUGAAGCCAAGAGUAAAUGGCAAGGAAGCAGCUGGAACCCCCUGACUGUUGCAUGUUCAUGGGGACAGGAGAUUCUGUCUCACUUGAUCUGGCAAAGCUGAGCCAAAGCCCAGGACCCAAACUAUGCAUCCUUAAGAGACUGCCAACAGGUGCAUAAGGUGCAUUAUAAAGCAGCAAGCCUAGAAGGAAAUUCCUCUGGAAGCAGAUAAAGGGCAUAGCAGCAAACAGUAAUAUCUGGCCUACUAGGAAAUUUUACUUAUCCCAGAUUGUUCUGCAGAAAGCUAAGAAGUCACAAACUUUGUGAAAAUGGCUAAUUCAGCUACAGGUUUUUGUCAUUCAUAAUAUAUUUGACCUUUCAUCCUUAAUAUUAGCAAUCAUAGCUAACGUUGAGUGCUUCUCAUGUAAUAAACAUUUUGCAUUCAUUGUCAGCUUUAAUUCUCAUAACGAUUCUGUGAGAUAGUUAUUUUUAUUAUUCCUUGUUUAUGGAUGAAGUAACAGACUAGAGAGGCUAAGUAACUUGCCCAAGGAUUUGCAAAGUGGAAAGUAAGCAGCAAAGCCAGUAGAACGUUGGAUUUCUAGAACAUGCCUUCAAAAUCAUGAUGGUUCCUAAAUAUUUCUAUAAUUUCCUUUUAAUUUCCAAAUAUUUAAUUAUUCUCUUUUUGUCCUUUUAGGCUACUACUCUCUCUCUCUCUGCCUGCUACAAAGGUAAAAGAAAACGCUUGCGCUUGUGUCAGCACACGCAUACAUACACACACACACACACACACACACACACACAAUGAAUUGUUAAGCAGGUCCCAACCCUGGGCUCUAUUGAUGUCAAGCAAGCACCCUAAGAGGGAAUCAUUUCCUACGUCUGAACUUGGAGAGAUGAGAACCACAGAUCCCUCCAUUUAACUAAAACCUCAAAGGAAAUUUCAAGAUAUACCCACUGGAAAAAGAGAGUCUUUUUGAGUUUUCUCUGGGGACUUGGCAAAAAUCCAAAUACUUGAAUUUAUUUUAUGUUUCUGUUCUGAGAUUGUGAAAUGCUUUUAAAAGUCUGUUAAAUUUUACUCUAAUGUAGAACAGUAGGGAGGUGAUCCACCUCCCGGGACUCACUUGAAAAGCUCACCGAAACUGUUUACAAAUGAAUUGAGUUUAAGAAACAAGCCUGAAAAGUGCCACAAGUCCAGCCUGUCUCCCUUCAGAAGCACUGGCAGGUAUGGGCUGUGCUGCCUGAGAAUGCAGCAGCCCAUACAACCUCACAGCAGCUUCUCAAGCGAAUUUUACAUUUAUCCUGGGAUCAGAGAGAAAGAACAAAGGCAAAAAAAAAAAAAAAAAAAAAA
rnacentral:lncRNA from 1 species